rnacentral:lncRNA from 10 species
UCCACACUUCAGAGGGCCCUGGGUAUGACAAAACUAUGAAAAAAAAGAUCCUUAGGAAUGACUACAGUCAAAAUCACAAAAGAAGUAGAAAAUGUAAAAGUAACCCCAAAAUAGAAAGAAGAAAUAAUCUUCAAAGAGGAUGUUUUCUUAAAUUGUUUAAACUCACAACUAAAUUGAACAAAUGUAUGUUAAGCAUAAUCUACAUAAGAUUUAUGAAUAAGAUAUUACAAAUUCUAUAUACACUGAGGUUUUACUUACUGUUAAAAACAAUGGAAAUGUACAAGAAAUUGUCCCAGUCAAAUCCACGACUUGUAUGCCCCUGAUGAAAUUCCUGCAACUAAGAAAAUUCAAUAAUUCACAUUUUAAAAUAUG